CCCUUAGAUGUUCUGGGCCGCACACGCGCUACACUGAAGGAGGCAGCGUGUACUCCUGGAUCGAAAGAUUUGGGUAACCCGCGAAUCUCCUUCGUGCUAGGGAUUGAGGUUUGCAAUUAUCCUUCAUGAACGAGGGAUUCCCAGUAAGUGCAAGUCAUAAGCUUGCGCUGACUACGUCCCUGCCCUUUGUACACACCGCCCGUCGCUACUACCGAUUGAAUGAUUUAGUGAGGACUUCGGACUGGGACCGAUGCGGCUUUCGGGCUGCGUCGGUAUUCUGGAAAGAUGUCCAAACUGUAUCAUUUAGAGGAAGUAAAAGUCGUAACA
rnacentral:rRNA from 1 species